rnacentral:tRNA from 1 species
GCACCCGUAGCUCAGCUGGAUAGAGUGCUGCCCUCCGAAGGCAGAGGUCACUGGUUCUGAAUCCAGUCGGGUGCACCA